ACGAACGCUGGCGGCGUGCUUAACACAUGCAAGUCGAACGGAAAGGCCCUGCUUUUGUGGGGUGCUCGAGUGGCGAACGGGUGAGUAACACGUGAGUAACCUGCCCUUGACUUUGGGAUAACUUCAGGAAACUGGGGCUAAUACCGGAUAGGAGCUCCUGCUGCAUGGUGGGGGUUGGAAAGUUUCGGCGGUUGGGGAUGGACUCGCGGCUUAUCAGCUUGUUGGUGGGGUAGUGGCUUACCAAGGCUUUGACGGGUAGCCGGCCUGAGAGGGUGACCGGCCACAUUGGGACUGAGAUACGGCCCAGACUCCUACGGGAGGCAGCAGUGGGGAAUAUUGCACAAUGGGCGGAAGCCUGAUCCAGCAACGCCGCGUGCGGGAUGACGGCCUUCGGGUUGUAAACCGCUUUCGCCUGUGACGAAGCGUGAGUGACGGUAAUGGGUAAAGAAGCACCGGCUAACUACGUG
rnacentral:rRNA from 1 species